AUAUUUUCUUGACUUAUUUGCUUAUAUUUUCGUAGUCUUUGAAAAGGUCAAUAUCGAAGGCAACCUUGAAGUGAAUGUCUGGUUUGUUUGGUUCCUUAAUAUAUAUAACUAUUGCAUCAUUGAUUUUGAUUGGUACUUUCUUUUGAAGGAAUUAUGCGUCAACAAAGCAGUGCUGCUGAAAGUCUCAAUCCUUCAAAGCUUAGGAGGAAUGCUUAUGCUGCAUCUGAUAUAAGUAGAAUUGCUUCUCAGGUGGUCGAACACUUCCAGCUAACGAAGCACGUUUUUGGGGCAUCAAAGGUAGCAGCCACAGCCAGUACUGGGAAACUGGACUUGUUAAGGAACUUGGGAGCAAACUUAGCCAUUGAUUAUACAAAGGGGCUGCUUGAAGAUCUAGAAGAAAAAUUUGAUGUAGUGUACGAUACAGUAGGCAGAGUGAGAUUGAUAGAACAUUGAAGGCUGUUAAAGAAAAUGGGAAAGUUGUGAUAGUAGCAGCACAUGGAAGUUCUUCAGAUAUCUUCGUAAUGCUCAUACAGUGUAUAUUCCCUGCCCAUCAUUGACAUAAUUCGGGGUUUUGGAUUGAAUAUAUUGAAAGCCAUGAUGGAAAGAAAGAAGAACAAACUAUGAGCAAGCUUUGUUGUUGAGAAUCCCUAAGUUGGCUUGAGCGGUGGAGAAGUCGAGGACAAGUUGGAGAAGUUCAUUGCAGAGGGUCAUUG